AGGGCUGGCCCCUAUAAUUAGGGGUCAGCAGCUCAUACACGUAUUUUUCUGAUAGCAAAAAUCGUUAUCAUUUUAUGAAAAAAAAUUAAUUCAGUUAUUGUUAAUAUAUUAAAUCAUGUCAUUUGGUAUCAAAUUAAACAAGUUCUGUGCUAUAUUUUUUUUUAAAUUUCAUAAAACAAAUAUGUGAGAAUCGUACAUGAACGAGUUAAUAUGUCUAUAUAGACACACAAGCGAACAAAUGCCACAUUAAGGCCCAGGCAUUUACUGCAUUACGUUGUGUUGCGUCUUAGAUAAAUUGUUGUGAUUCAAUUUCAUUUUUUUUCAUCUAUAUCAUUUAUGAAUUCAAUGAACACACAUUAUUUAAACGUUCUAUGUGCAACUAUUUGUCGGGGCGCCCCUGUUUGUAACCCCCGCGCGCGCGCCGAAUGUAAACAGUAACGAACGGCAUUGUAGAAAAGAGAGAGCCGUAAUGCAGAAGAGAAGUUGUGUAUUCUUUCGGUGUACACAUGCAUUUUCAAUUUGCUGUGAAACAUAUGAACAUGCACAGGGAACAAUACUAGGCCUACAUAUUUGUUUAAGGAGGAUAUUUUUCAAGUGUGAAUCGUUUACGAGGAAAUUCUGACAGCCACACUUCUGUCGACGAUCAGCCGUUAAUAAGCUACGAGUAAUAAAGGAGAAAAGAUGGACAUUAAAGUGUGUGAUUUAUGUGGAUGUUACUGAAGAAGCUCAAAACAGACUCUUGUUACCACAUGGCUUUUACCGGUACCUGUUGAUUCUUGUGGGUCAGCUCCUGAGAUUAACCUGUCACCUCUAUCCACAUGCAUAUUCCUUGUGUUCUACAGACUAUUUACCGGUAAUUCAAAUUAAAUCCGAUAAUGCAUGAACAAUAAUGGAACUUGAAGAAAGCAUCAUGCCAUGUUGUGGUUUGUGUUUGAUAAGAAAUUAUGAAAACAAAAUUAAGGCUGUUUAAAGAAAUUCAUAAUUGCUGUGAAAAUUUGUUUUUCAAUAAAAGUAUACAAUUA